GUUAGAUAGGAUCUUUUUCUUUCUUUUUUUUGCAAGUUCAAAAAUGUCUAUCUGAGACUGGCAAGCCUCCUCUGCACCCGCUGCAGAAAGGCACACAUAUUUCACCCUCAAAGUCCAGGAGUGGAACCUGUUCUCUGCUCCUGAACAUUCCAAGGAAAUCUUGACACUGUUAUUAGAAAAAUGGGAAGGCAGGAUCAGCUAGGUAGACAAAGGCAAGCAUCAUGUCAAAAGGCCAAGGGAAGUUUGACUUUUAUACAUGUUUUCUUAUCGAUGAAGAUGUAACACAGGACCUUUAAUUUAAAAUUCUCCCUGUGUGUUUUUUAUCCCCACACAUGGCUAUGCAUCAGAAUUUGUAUGUUGGACACAAAGUACAUAAUUUGAAAAAAAGAGCAAGUGGGAUUACAGCGGCCAUAUUUCACAUGAGCUUAGUGCUUUAUAUUUUGUUAAGGUUUCUUCUACACCAUUUCCUGUUAGCUUCAAAAUAACCGCUGGAUGAGACAUUAGAGAAGAUAAUAGUUUCAUCUCUAUUUUACAAACUAACAAACCAAACUGACAUGUUUCUACUCCAGACCGUCAGUUAGGAAAUGACUAGAACUCAAAGCUUCUGGCACUUCCUGCAGAGAUGUUUCCAUCAGCUGAACUCAAAUUGCAAAUAGACAAAUUUGGAUUUUUAUAGUAUUUGAAAUAAGCCUUUAGAAUACUGGCAAUUUCAUUGAACUAAAUGACUUCAAACUCAAAACACUUAGCUGUAGUGAAAAGUUUAUAUAUAUAUCAUUUACACUUAAACACACUGUAAAGUCUCACUAUUGUUUUCAGAUGGCAUAUGUAGAUCUCUACUUGUUUUCCACUAAUUCACAAGUAUUUGAAAAAUAUGCAUGGAGCAGGUAUGUGAAUGUCAGGAGUGAAGGAAGGAAAGGGUUAAUUAAAUCUAGUUCUAAAUGUUGAGAAUUGUAUGAGGUCAGAUAAAAUAAAUGUGAGUGAUUAAUCAGCCUAGUGGUUAAUACUAAAUAUUCAGAAAUAGCAAUAGAGCAAAAAUAAUUGGUUUGUGUCAUAAAAUUAUAGACGAUUUGUCAAAAUAACAUUUAUAUGGGAAAUUAUUUAGGAUAUACAUGUUUAAAAUUUCUUGAAUAAUCAUUUGCUUAUGUGUCUUUGGGAGACUUGGAAAAAAUUUUCUUAGCAUGUUUACAAAUUUUUUUUUUUUUUUUGAGACGGAGUCUCGUUCUGUGGCCCAGGCUGGAGUGCAGUGGUGCGAUCUCAGCUCACUGCAAGCUCUGCCUCUCGGGUUCCCGCCAUUCUCCUGCCUCAGCCUCCCGAGUAGCUGGGACUACAGGCACCCGCCACCACGCCCGGCUAAUUUUUUUUUGUAUU
rnacentral:lncRNA from 1 species